rnacentral:rRNA from 1 species
GACGAACCGUGCAACCGUUGUUCGGAAUCACUGGGCUUAAAGGGCGCGUAGGCGGGCCCGCCAGUCUGUGGUGAAAGCCCCCGGCUUAACCGGGGAAGUGCCGUGGAUACUGCGGGCCUCGAGGAGGGUAGGGGCAUCUGGAACGGUCGGUGGAGCGGUGAAAUGCGUUGAUAUCGACCGGAACUCCGGUGGCGAAGGCGAGGUGCUGGGCCCUUUCUGACGCUGAUGCGCGAAAGCCAGGGGAGCAAACGGG